rnacentral:rRNA from 1 species
AACGAACGCUGGCGGCAGGCUUAACACAUGCAAGUCGAACGCACCGCAAGGUGAGUGGCAGACGGGUGAGUAACGCGUGGGAAUCUACCCAUCCCUAGGGGAUAACACAGAGAAAUUUGUGCUAAUACCCUAUACGUCCUCCGGGAGAAAGAUUUAUCGGGGAUGGAUGAGCCCGCGUUGGAUUAGCUAGUUGGUGGGGUAAUGGCCUACCAAGGCGACGAUCCAUAGCUGGUCUGAGAGGAUGACCAGCCACACUGGGACUGAGACACGGCCCAGACUCCUACGGGAGGCAGCAGUGGGGAAUAUUGGACAAUGGGCGCAAGCCUGAUCCAGCCAUGCCGCGUGAGUGAUGACGGCCUUAGGGUUGUAAAGCUCUUUCACCCACGACGAUAAUGACGGUAGUGGGAGAAGAAGCCCCGGCUAACUUCGUGCCAGCCGCCGCAGUAA